rnacentral:rRNA from 1 species
AUUGAACGCUGGCGGCAUGCCUUACACAUGCAAGUCGAACGGUAACGCGGGGCAACCUGGCGACGAGUGGCGAACGGGUGAGUAAUGCAUCGGAACGUGCCCAGUAGUGGGGGAUAGCCCGGCGAAAGCCGGAUUAAUACCGCAUACGACCUACGGGUGAAAGGGGGGGAUCGCAAGACCUCUCGCUAUUGGAGCGGCCGAUGUCAGAUUAGGUAGUUGGUGGGGUAAAGGCCUACCAAGCCGACGAUCUGUAGCUGGUCUGAGAGGACGACCAGCCACACUGGGACUGAGACACGGCCCAGACUCCUACGGGAGGCAGCAGUGGGGAAUUUUGGACAAUGGGCGCAAGCCUGAUCCAGCCAUGCCGCGUGCGGGAAGAAGGCCUUCGGGUUGUAAACCGCUUUUGUCAGGGAAGAAACGCGCUGAGCUAAUACCUCGGCGUAAUGACGGUACCUGAAGAAUAAGCACCGGCUAACUACGUGCCAGCAGCCGCGGUAAUAC